GUCGUGAUUUACCUUUCGAUAAGUCUCUAGCUGAUGAGUCACCUUCUGUUGAUUCUUCCUUUUACAACAGAAAUAGUCAAAAUAACUCUGCUUUGAUUCCUCCACCAUCUGCUUUCAGGGGUGGAGGUGGCAGUCCUUUUUUGGGUUCACUGGAAGAAGAUAGUAGAAUUAACAGUGGUGCCCGCUACAAGAGGAGUGCUGAUCCCAACAUGGGAAGAGGGCAAGGAAAUGCUUGGAGAGGUGCUCCAAACUGGCCUUCACCUUUGCCGAAUGGCUACAUUCCUUUCCAACAUGGGCCACCUCAUGGAGGUUUUCAAGCCAUGAUGCCACAGUUUCCAUCUCCUCCUCUAUUUGGAGUCAGACCCUCAAUGGAAAUCAACCACUCUGGCAUUCCUUAUCAUAUUCCUGAUGCUGACAGGUUUUCCAGUCAUCUGCGGCCCCUUGGAUGGCAGAAUAUGAUGGAUGGUUCAGGGCCUUCUCACAUGCAUGGAUGGGAUAGAAAUAAUGGUGUAUUUAGGGAUGAAUCACACGUAUAUGGGGGAACAGAAUGGGACCAGAACAGGCAUCCAAUGAAUGGUCGAGGGUGGGAAAAUAGUGCUGACAUUUGGAAAGGGCAAAAUGGUGAUGCAAAUAUGGAUUUGCCCUCGACAUCCCUGAAAGAGGAUUUUCCAGUGCAGGCCCCUGCGGAAGAUGUUGCCACUGGCCAGGAAGGUCAAAGGUCACAAAAUGAAGGUAAUUAUCAUGGGGUUCAGGCAAAAAUUGUUGAAACAAAGGUAGCUGUUACUCCUUCAGCAAAAGAAUCCUUUAAAUCUUCACCUAAAACUACCCAUGAGCAGAAGCCUGAUCAUCCUAAUUCACCAAGUAAUGAUUAUGUUGCUUAUGUUUACUGUGCUUAUCUU
rnacentral:misc_RNA from 1 species